CCAGUGGUGGAAGAAGUGCUCAGAAUCACGACAAUGUAAAAUACAUUUUAUAUGCAAAACACAUGAUGGUCUGAUGAGAUAUGAGCAGCACUUAAGUAAUGCCCAAACCCAUAAAUAUCUGCAUCAGCUCCCAGCAGGACACUUCGCCCUGUGGCCACAGCUUUCCUCUGACUCUCAAAAAGAAGAGACUUGUUCUCCUAGUUUGACUGAGGAAAAAGAUGAAAAAUGUACAUCUACACACGUGUGUUUCAGAUUCAGGUGCUCAGACAAACCAGCAUCAACCAUAUCAAAUACUUCAUACAAGUAUGAAAAGACCAGAAAAAUUUGUCAUCCAGACUAUCAUCUAUAAGUAACUACUUCCUCCAUCACUGUCAGCCUCAAGGUGCCACAUCACACCUUGUCCAUUUUUGGUGAAAUUAAAACAAGCAUAAAUCACAUCCAUCCACGAUUAUCAGUGAAUACAGAUACCAUCAAUCACUGAGAAACCAGUGAAGAGCCAGGGGAGGGUGUGUGAGUGCAGACUGAGAGACACAGCAUCCAGCCGAGCAAUCAAGCAAGAGCUAGAAGUCUGGCUAGUUGCAGUGGACAAGUCAGGCCUACCUGGCAAGUUUAAGGCCUGGAUAUACCAACAUGGCAUCCUCCCACUGAUUCUCUGGCCACUCUUGGUCUAUGAAGUCCUGAUCUCCACAGUUGAGGGCUUUGAGAGGAAGUUCAGCAGGUUCCUAAUGAUGUGUCUGGGACUACUUCAGAGCCUGAGCAGCAUCACCCUGUACAGCGGAGCAGCAAGCUCAAGCUCCUCAUCAGCAGCCUGAAUGAAGAAUUUAUGGUGACCAGUACUUGGAAGGUGCUGCAAUACUGAGAGUCCUGCAACCUAAGUCUCUCAGGCUGGCAUCGAGGUCAGGACAGGAUGGAAGUGGAGAGCAGCAGAGGCCGUGGAUGUUGUUUAGUCUCAGCUAAGGCACAGGGUGCGGGUGGGUGCAGUGUCUCAUGGAAGGGCUGGCCUGGGUAGUAGCUUAACACCUCGCUACGACAAGGCACAGGGGAAGGACAAGAGUUCACUGAUCCAGGCUGAGGUGUGAGUGUCAGUCGAGGAGGAGCGAGCCAACAGAAUGGUCUGAAUGCAACAGCAGUGAGUCUGGACAAGAUGGGAGCAAGCAGUGGAGAGCAAAGCCUCAUGGGCCAAGCUAGGGAAAGCCGAGCCCCAUUGAAUAAAAUUCUUAAUCCAAGUGGUUUAUAACGUUCUACCAAGCCCAUCCAGCUUGUUUUGAUGGGGAAAGGUGGAGCCACCAGAUUGCCCUCUGUGCCUGAAGAGAGGGACCCUAAGCACAUCCUCAGCUGCUGUUGGAAAUCCCUGAGCUAGGGGCACUAACGCCGGCGCCAUGACCAAGUCCUGAAGGCCAUAGCGCCUCUGCCCAGUGAAGAAGUACAUUGCUUUCGUCAGCAACGACACAAGACUGAGAGCUGAAAGUUGACCUGGUUAAGCAACUGAGGUUCCCAGAAACUGUUGCCACAACAACGCUAAAGCCAGACAUGGUGCUGAUCUUGGAAACAUCCAAGCAGGUCAUUCUUUUAGAGCUCACCAGUCCCUGGGAGGACCACACUGAGGUGGUCAAUGAGAGGAAGAGGGCAAAGUACACUGGUUGAAGAAUGCUAAAGCAAUGGGUGGCAAGCAAGGUGCAAGCCCAUGAGGCAGGAUGCAGAGGGUUCACAGGCCAGUCCCUCUGCAGGGCCUACAACAUGCUGGGUAUCACAGGGGCCAGUAAGUGAAGGGCCAUCAAAUUGGCCACCAAGGCAGCAGAAGAAAAAUAUUAUUCCACCAAUAAAAAACAAAAAAAGUAGAUUUAACUCCUUUUUACACAGCUGAGCAGUGUGAAUGUGUGUGUGAGGGUUUUGCCAUUUAAUACAAGUCAAAUAUCCCCAGGGAAAGAGAGAAAAAAGGUUAAGUGGUUAUUUGCUAGUACAAAGCCUAUUCAUGUAUGUACUGUAAACAGCUGAGUAAGGUUAUUCAAAAAUGCAUCUGACUCAACUGCGUUUUGGUAGAAGUUACAGGUGUAACACCUCCCUGCUUGAAUUUGAAUGAAUAUAAAAUUUUAAAUGUAAUGAAAGUCAAACUUAUGGUGGACUUCAUGUGAGCUGUGAUUCAACUGAAAAAGGAUGAAUGGGACUGAGAUCAAACUAGAUUUUAAUUGGAAAAAUAAAUGAAGUAAAGACAGAUGCUCUUACUUAUUUAGUGCCUACAGAGUAUGUACUCUGCCAUAAAUGGGAUUUAAAAGAGUGAUAUAAGUAGACCUAUCCUCCAAAACAGCUUAAAACUUUUAAAGGAGCAGACUUUUAUUAGUGUCUUUUGAGAAUGUUGUUCAGGAUCAGUCCAGUCAGAUGGUAAUUGAGAUGGCCAAGAGAGGGUAUAACCAGAAAUUGUCAUUUGUGAUGCACUUGUGUUGUUUCGUGCCUUGUGGCACUUGUGGAGCUUCGAGUGUUGAGUCAAUUAUUCUCAGGGGUUCUCCUUGAUCUACUAUAGCUUGGAUUGGUCCUAAUUUGUAUGUCGCUCUGGACAAAAGCAAAUGAAUAAAUGUAAAUGUUUUAUCAAAA